rnacentral:rRNA from 1 species
AUUGAACGCUGGCGGCAGGCCUAACACAUGCAAGUCGAACGUGUGGCGGACGGGUGUAUAGUGCUGGAGAAUGUCCCUUAUGGAGGGGGAUAACUACGGAAAGCUGUAGAUAAUAGCGCGAACCCGGGGAUGCGCCCACGUGGGAUGAGGUAGUGGGUGGGGUAAGGGCUCACCAGGCCGACGAUCUCUAGCUGGUCUGAGAGGAUGACCAGCCACACUGGAACUGAGACACGGCCCAGACUCCUACGGGAGGCAGCAGUGGGGAAUAUUGCGCAAUGGGGGCAACCUGACGCAGCCAUGCCGCGUGAAUGAAGAAGGCCUUCGGGUUGUAAAGUUCUUUCGGUAGCGAGGCGUUACCUACAGAAGAAGCACCGGCUAACUCCGUGCCAGCCGCCGCGGUAAUAC